AUAAUGGCAAUGACAAAGAGUAGUACAUCUGAUAAAGGGUUUUUAGAGAGUUUGUGGCUGGUGGAAACAAACACCCUUGCAGAUCGAAUGGACUUUCGAGCCGCUGCGGUGAAGCGUUCAGUAUCCGCAGACGUAUGCCUGCGUUACAGGCCCAUGCUCACAGCAUGAAAGCGGCUCUUACAGAGCAAUUAGGGUGGCACCGCGGACCAUUCGUCCCUAUC
rnacentral:ncRNA from 1 species